AGAGUGAACGCUGGCGGUAGGCCUAACACAUGCAAGUCGAACGGCAGCACAGUAAGAGCUUGCUCUUAUGGGUGGCGAGUGGCGGACGGGUGAGGAAUACAUCGGAAUCUACCUUUUCGUGGGGGAUAACGUAGGGAAACUUACGCUAAUACCGCAUAAGACCUUCGGGUGAAAGCCGGGGACCUUCGGGCCUGGCGCGGAUAGAUGAGCCGAUGUCGGAUUAGCUUGUUGGCGGGGUAAAAGCCCACCAAGGCGACGAUCCGUAGCUGGUCUGAGAGGAUGAUCAGCCACACUGGAACUGAGACACGGUCCAGACUCCUACGGGAGGCAGCAGGUGGGGAAUAGUUGGACAAGUGGGCGCAAGGCCUGAUCCAGCCAUACCGCGUGGGUGAAGAAGGCCUUGGGUUGUAAAGUCCCUUUUGUAGGAAAGUAAGUCCUAGCCGUAUUAAUACUCUAGUAGGAUAGACCGGUAACCAAAGAUAAGC
rnacentral:rRNA from 1 species